rnacentral:rRNA from 1 species
AGUUGAUCCUGGCUCAGGAUGAACGCUGGCGGCGUGCUUAACACAUGCAAGUCGAACGAAGCAUUGAUUAUUGAUUCUUCGGAUUGAUUAAUCUUGACUAGUGGCGGACGGGUGAGUAACGCGUGGGUAACCUGCCGUAUGCAGGGGGACAACAGUUGGAAACGACUGCUAAUACCGCAUAAGCCGGUAGUGCCGCAUGGCACAGCCGGAAAAGAUUUAUCGGCAUACGAUGGACCCGCGUCUGAUUAGCUGGUUGGUGAGGUAACGGCCCACCAAGGCGACGAUCAGUAGCCGAACUGAGAGGUUGACCGGCCACAUUGGGACUGAGACACGGCCCAGACUCCUACGGGAGGCAGCAGUGGGGAAUAUUGCACAAUGGGGGGAACCCUGAUGCAGCCAACGCCGCGUGAGUGAUGAAGUAUUUCGGUAUGUAAAGCUCUAUCAGCAGGGAAGAAAAUGACGGUACCUGACUAAGAAGCCCCGGCUAACUACGUGCCAGCAGCGGC